GAAAUGCGAUAAGUAAUGUGAAUUGCAGAAUUCAGUGAAUCAUCGAAACUUUGAACGCAUCUUGCGCUCCUUGGUAUUCCUUGGAGCAUGCCUGUUUGAGUAUCAUGAAAUCUUCAAAGUAAAUCUUUUGUUAACUCAAUUGGUUUCUACUUUGGUAUUGGAGGUCUUUGCAGCUUCACACCUGCUCCUCUUUGUUCAUUAGCUGGAUCUCAGUGUUAUGCUUGGUUCCACUCGGCGUGAUAAGUUAUCUAUCGCUGAGGACACUGUAAAAGGUGGCCAAGGUAAAUGCAGAUGAACCGCUUCUAAUAGUCUAUUGACUUGGACAAUACUUUUAUGAUCUGAUCUCAAAUCAGGUAGGACUACCCGCUGAACUUAAGC
rnacentral:misc_RNA from 1 species